GCCCAUAAAAAGAGCAAAAAAGUAAGGCUACAGCUUAACUUUUCGUCUAAUUUUAGCCCAAAAAAACGGCAAAAAGUAAGGCUAUAACCAUAACGUUUCUUACAAAACGUGAGAAAAACCCCAGCAAAACCGUAAGGCUAUAUCCUUAACCUUUCGUCCAAUUUUAGCUCAAAAAACCAAGGCUACACUGUAUAGUCUUAACUUUUCCUCCCAAUUUAGCAAAAAAAUAACCCCAGCAAAAAAGUAAGGUUACAGCCUUAACUUUUGUCCAAUUUUAGCCAACAAAACAGCAUUUAACAUUUCGUCCAAAAAACAUCAUUAACAUUUCGUCCAAAUUUAGCCCAACAAAACCAGCAAAAAAGUAACGCUGCUAUAUCCAUAACUUUUCGUUAAAUUUUAGUCGAAAAAAAAAAAAGCAGCAAAAAGGUAAGGUCAUAUAUAUCUAGCCUUAACUUUUCAUCUAAUGUUAGCCCCCCCAAAAAUACCAAAAAGUAAGGCUAUAUAGCCUUAACUUUUCAUCCAAUUUUAGCAACAACAAAAAAAAAACAGCAAAAAGUAAGACUAUAGCCUUAACUUUUCGUCCAAUUUUAGCCCCAAAAAAGUGGGUUUCCAAAAACGUGGGCCCCAAAAAAGUG